CACUGUAAAAGCAUGAGUAGUGGUGAGGGGAGGAGUGUAAGACAGGGGGGCUACCAGUACUCACAGCAAGCUGUGGCUCUGGUAAAGGAGCGUCUUCAGCCAAGCUGAGGGCGAUCUCAGGGCGUGAAAGCAAAAUUAUAUCUGUAUUCUGUCUCCUCUCUGCCAGCUGAGGCUCAGAUAUGGAAGUGUUGCUGUUUGUACUGAUGUCAGGUUCGGGUGGGUUUAAUUCCUGAGUCGGUUGGUCUGUGUUUAGAGGUUGUUCUGGUGAUGAUAGUUCUAGCGUUAGUUGGUCAAAGUCCAUUUCUGCUUGUGUUGAAGAGUGGGCUAUGAUAGGUGCAUCAGAGGUUAGUGGAGGCUCUGGUAAAUUCGAUUCUGAUACUUGAGAGGCCAUCGCAGCUGACAGUUCAGAUGAGUUUGAUUCUGGAAUAAAUGGGUUUGUACUCACGAAGGGUUCGGAUAAAGUUAAUUCUGAAACAGUCAAGGCGGUAUCUGCCUUGAAGGGUUCUGCUUCUGAAACAGUCAGGCCAGUUGCUAAGAGUUCUGGUGAGUUUAGAUUUGGUUGCUCUGAUACGGAUAACUCUGAGACUGACGGGUCCGUAUUGAUCACAUGGUGAAGUAAUAGAUCUGCAAAUGGUUUGUCAGUGUCAAAUAACUCCUCUUCAGGUUUACUGUUGAAGACGGGGAACGGAUCGACUAGAGUGACUUCUAGGGGUUCUUCUUCAGGGUCGUAGUGCUGGAUCAGGUGGAGAGGUUGUGUCAGCAUACUGCCCCUGGACUGCCAGCAGCUGCAAAACAGCCCUGCGCAUGGAGGACUGGGGAGAGAAGAGCCAGGCAGAUAAGUCACUGCAGAGUCAACAACCACUGAGAGGUUUGAAAGCAGCAGCAGUUAACUCCUCCAGCUCAAACAUCUAAAGCAGCUCGAAGAAAAAAUCAUCACCGGAGCCUGCUGAGGGGAGAAUGACUCGUAAGAAAUGGACGGAGCGGCUCAAAUGGAAUCCCCAUCCAACCUGACAGAGCUUGCUUGAAAGGAUCUGCAGAGAAGAAUGAUGUAGGGUCAUACCCAAGAAGAUUCGAGGCUGUAAUUGUUGCCAAAGGUGCUUCAACAAAGUACUGAGUAAA